rnacentral:rRNA from 1 species
GUGUGGGGACAUUCCACGUUUUCCGCGCCGUAGCUAACGCAUUAAGUGCCCCGCCUGGGGAGUACGGCCGCAAGGCUAAAACUCAAAGGAAUUGACGGGGGCCCGCACAAGCGGCGGAGCAUGCGGAUUAAUUCGAUGCAACGCGAAGAACCUUACCAAGGCUUGACAUUCACCGGACCGCCCCAGAGAUGGGGUUUCCCUUCGGGGCUGGUGGACAGGUGGUGCAUGGUUGUCGUCAGCUCGUGUCGCGAGAUGUUGGGUUAAGUCCCGCAACGAGCGCAACCCUCGUUCUAUGUUGCCAGCACGUGAUGGUGGGGACUCAUAGGAGACUGCCGGGGUCAACUCGGAGGAAGGUGGGGAUGACGUCAAAUCAUCAUGCCCCUUAUGUCUUGGGCUUCACGCAUGCUACAAUGGCCGGUACAAAGGGUUGCGAUACUGUGAGGUGGAGCUAAUCCCAAAAAGCCGGUCUCAGUUCGGAUUGAGGUCUGCAACUCGACCUCAUGAAGUCGGAGUCGCUAGUAAUCGCAGAUCAGCAACGCUGCGGUGAAUACGUUCCCGGGCCUUGUACACACCGCC